AUUUUUGAAAAAAUGACUCAGUCUGAGAAACCCUAACUGCCUCCCAGAAGGUUCACCUCCUGACCCACUCUCUUGAGACUGGCUCAUUGGAGUAGAGGACCCUGUCCUUCUGUCUGGCUCUGCCAUCCUGGUACCAGGCAUAUACGAGCAGAAGCAUCCUGUCACAGAGUGACGUCAUCUUUCUGGAGUCAUCUCCUCUUCCCUCGUCGUCCCACUCAUUCCUCUCCUGUGCUGACCACAUUCUGGGGAAGGCCUGGAAGAAAUGGAAGCCAUCCUUCACGAGUCCCCCACCAGGUGCUUGGCACGGUGCUCUGCAUCUGAUGUGAAGUUCGCACUAAGUCCGGGACUGUAAUUCUCCUUUUGCUGACAGUGAAAGAGUCCUCAGGAAAGCAGGGUGCCUUUGCGCAAGGCCAACCAGCAAGAAACAGGACCUGGAUGACAGAGCCAGCUGCCUCCCCAUAUGAGGGCACUGGGAGAAGCGGGGUAGGCAAGGAAGGAAGCGGAGUCAUUCACUGCCUCAGGCAACAAGCAAUAGAUUUCCCUAGAUCCCGUCUGCUAGGCACUUAGAUGCUUGGAAGCUGAGGCUGCAGAAACUGGCUUCUUUCUGACUCAGAGGUGCCAUCUUCAGGCCAGCGGAAGUGUUGCAAACAGGAACAAGCACCUGCCCCUCUGCUCUCCACUAGACAGGCACCACCAGAUGCUGGCUGGGGAAGGGACCUUCCAUCUUAAAAUAUUCCAGAGUGAGGCAGAGGGAUGGACUAGCUCAGAGUUACAGAGUUAGAGAUGGCAGAACAGGAGCUGCACCCCUAUGACCCCGUCAGUGACCCCUCACUUUCCAGACUCUCUUUCAUCAUCUUUCAUCAUGCAUCCUCACUUUCUUCCCACUCUCCUCUUCCUCUUUCUUCUUCCCCUUCUUCCUCCCCUCCAUCCGACAGCUGUUAUUGAGCACUUUGUAGGUUUUGGGCAUAGUCUCCCGCCUGGGAUAGGAAGUCUGGGUGCGGGAAAGUCUGCUCUCAGGGAUCGUUGUUGAAUUGAUUAGUUGACAUCGUAACUUUCCAACUAUAGCUGAGAUGCAUAGAGCAAGUCUUACCACAUUUCAGGCCCUCCAUAGAGGCUUCGUCUCACUGACUUCUCACAGAAUAGAAGAUUCAGCCGUGGGGCAGUUUGGGAGCAUGCUCAGUAGGACCCAGUAAGUUGUGGAGCCGUGACUCAAAACCCAGAUCCUUUCUACCUCAGAACCAGAGAUGUCAACUGCAGUGUUGUAUGUCUUCUCUAAAGGAUAACCCAGGAAGCAGGCAUGUUCUCAUAACAUUUUGUUCUCUACAAUAUUUGCUUGUUCUGGGUCUGAGCGAGGUGAAGGCCAUCUUCUCCAGUUCCUUGCUUCUGAAUUCUGAGGAUUUUUAUUGAGGUAUUGUUAGGUCCUGGUUACUGAGCAAGGUAUCAGGCACAGGGAAGGGACUGACUCAGAGAGAAUCAUGACGUGUAGAUGGCAGUGUUACAGAAUCAAUUAGCAAUCAUGUCUUUGUAGAAGCACUCCACAUCACUGGGAAGGAUCCAGUUACAUUGUCUGGUAGAAGUGGCCCUCCUCUCCCAGUUGUGUAGUGAAUUACCUGAGUGACCAGACAUACAGUCCCUGACUCAAGUCUCCUAGAAACACAGGCCAAAUUCAAAGAGCUGAGAGACAAAAUGGUCACAUGAGCCUUUACAGGGCAGCUGAGGGGCCUGGGAAUCCUAAGAUAAAGACGGGUUUCUGGUCCCCUCAACAGGGGCCAUCAUCAAGUUUUGAGGAAAUGAGCCUCUGUGUUCUGAUACCAUUUUAGUUUCCAUUUCUUCAUUAGCUACAAGCUUGCAUUUCUCUUAAGUUCACAGGAAUCCUGCCUUUGUUCUUCCUUUUUAUGGGGAAGGUCUAGCUUCUCCUAUGUGUGUGGAUGUGCUCAUGAGCACGCACGAUUGGCUCCUGAAAGUAGAACUCACCAGCUUAUAGGUGUCAUAUCCGAAGCCAGAAGAUGAAGUGUGACCAUCAGAAGCCACUUAAGGAAUUUCUCCACCAAAGCUACAGUGACAUCCUUAGACAAGGAAGCCCCAUCAUGUGCACGUGUCUUAGGCAGAGGGCAGUGCAGCACAGAGAUGCGCUUUAACACUUCUCCUCCCUGCCUUUGCUCUGGAUAGCAUAUCUUCACUUCCCAAGAACAGUGUGUGUGUGUCUGUAUAUGAACAUGUACACAGAUUUUAUGUGCUUAGUGCAAACACACAUACCUCAGAGGAAUGGAUUUCCUAACAGUUCUGCCAGGGCUACAACGGGGGAGGGGACUCUCUAAUGCCCUCGAAAUUUCCAAGAUUCUUUUCUCUUUCAAAAAUAACAACUCUUUUAAGAUUUCAUUUUUCUCUGCCCUGAAUAGAACGACAACGUAACAAAAAUUGUAACAUCGAAGGGAGACAACCUUGGACCCAAGUCUCUGUCCUCCCAGGAAAGGACCGAUCAGCCAGUUUUGGGGCUUUAUAUAAAUGAUAAGAGGGCCACGGACACAUGGUCCACACGGGUUUCGUCACUAUGUGAAUAAGUCUUGUGAAGACAUACCUACCAUCCCUCGAGGUGGUUCUAGAAGGGGAGGCCGAGGUGGCCGAGACCCUGGCUUUACAUUAUAGAAGGGAAGGUGCUUGCUAUUGUAAAUGUUGGGGUGAGGGGCACCUCGGGCGGCGGCAGCAGAGAUGGGAGCAAAGUUCUACCUGUUGGCUCUAGGAGAAAUCUCACCAGGCCCGCACUUUCUUCUUGACUCAGAGUUCUCAGAGCCACACCAUGGCUUUUAAUAGGUUUUGCUGACCACUAGGAACCAUCAGCUGAGACAACCUUGUUUCUGCGGGGAUUCUUCAGUGAGUGAUUCCAGGUCUUAGGUGCUCUGGUCUUGCCUCCUGCUUGGUGCUGUCCUGGGUUGCUCACCGCUUUCUGCCCUCCCUUCCCUCUCAUUUUUGUACUUGAAUUUCCCCCUGGUUCCCAGUACUCCGUGGUUUCUGUUGACUUGGCUGGACUUUGCCUGAUGCAUUAGAACUUUUAUUGGUUUUACCUUAUAACAGCCUGCAGUAAAGAUGAUGAUGAUAGUGUUGGUGAUUUCCAUCCCUUCCUUGGUCUAUAACCUCACAUAUUACAAAGCUUUCGCCCUGGUUCUGUAAUUUGAGUUUCGUAAUAACAGUGUGAUGUAAGAAAGGCACUUAUUAUUAAUUCCACUUUACAGAACGGGAAAUGACUUCACUCUGUUCACACAGCUGCUGGGUCUGGAGUCUGGAACCAGAUCCUCUGUAGACUUUCCUCACCCGAGUUAACCCUUUAUUUCCCAUCACCAUCCUGACUGCCCCAUUGGGAAAGAGUCUUAACGCUCUUGUGUCUUUAUGGUGUUUUCCUGAACAUAGGGGACAAACCACAGGUCAAGGGAGUCUUAAUUUUUUUUUUAAUUCCUGGGUAAUACAUGUGAUAAUACUUGGUGGUUUAGAGUGGUACCAUUGGUAGCAAAUUCAAAUGUCUAAUCAGAAAAUAUUAAUCAACUGAAAGUCCAUUAUGUUGUGUACCACUUUUUCCUUAUCUAUCCGUCCAGGCUGGUUCCACUUCUUUGUUGUUGCACAGGGUGG